AGUGAACGCUGGCGGUAGGCCUAACACAUGCAAGUCGAACGGCAGCACAGGAGAGCUUGCUCUCUGGGUGGCGAGUGGCGGACGGGUGAGGAAUACAUCGGAAUCUACUCUGUCGUGGGGGAUAACGUAGGGAAACUUACGCUAAUACCGCAUACGACCUACGGGUGAAAGCAGGGGACCUUCGGGCCUUGCGCGAUUGAAUGGGCCGAUGUCGGAUUAGCUAGUUGGCGGGGUAAAGGCCCACCAAGGCGACGAUCCGUAGCUGGUCUGAGAGGAUGAUCAGCACACUGGAACUGAGACACGGUCCAGACUCCUACGGGAGGCAGCAGUGGGGAAUAUUGGACAAUGGGCGCAAGCCUGAUCCAGCCAUACCGCGUGGGUGAAGAAGGCCUUCGGGUUGUAAAGCCCUUUUGUUGGGAAAGAAAUCCAGCUGGCUAAUACCCGGUUGGGAUGACGGUACCCAAAGAAUAAGCACCGGCUAACUUCGUGCCAGCCGCCGCAGUAA
rnacentral:rRNA from 1 species